rnacentral:lncRNA from 1 species
AUAAGUGCUAUUGAACAACUCACUGUAGGCUUUCAAUUAUCUGAGAUUUACAUAAGCAACUUCCACAAAAUGCGAGAUACACCCAAUUAAAUGACAGUAAAUUUACUUUGCUGCAGAAUUCAAUAAUUUACAUCUUGGUUUCCCUGCAUUGCAUUAAUUGCCUAUUUGAUAGCAGAUUAAAAAGCAUCUGGAUAAAAUUUAACCUACAUAUAUUCAAAUUAGCUACAGUGAUUGAUUUAUCUGUAUUUUUACUCACUCAUUUAUUCAGUAUAUUUAUGUGCUAGUCACUGGGGAUAAGAUGUAUAACCAGAUGUAUACAGCUCCUGUCCUUCAAAAGCUGACCAUUCAGCAGGGGUGUUAAACACAGAAGUAGAAAUUAUCAUGUGUUGUGAUAAGGACAACAACAAAACAUGUUUGACGUAGUUGUAGUAUUUAUUUGUUCAUUUGAAAAAUAUUACUUGAACCUUUACUGUGUGCCAGAGUAGACCUGGUCUCAGAAGUAAAGAUAGAUUGUUGUUAGAAGAACAUACCCGGUGGGAUAUCCAUUUCUUUCAGUGUGAAAGACCACCUGACCAAAAUAAUCACAGGCUAGUGAAAAUACAUUUUAAAAAUCUUUCAAAAUGCUUUGCUUAAUGAACACAAAAUGAAGCAGAAGAAGCUAAAGCUAAAGUAAAAGUUGGAAUUCUGCAAGGUGGAUGAGCUCCAAAGCUGGCUUUCACCCUCAGGGGUCCUGCCAAAUCCAUAAGACCUUGAACCUUCUCGUCAGGGCCAAGUGACUCUGCCAGACAGUUGGGAAAUGGGUAAUGCCAAUGUUACAUAAAGUCUUUCGGAGAAGAAGGAAGAAGGAGCAGUCUCAAACUUAUUACAUGAGGCAACCAAAACAUUGGAGGCAAGGAAGCAAAUAGAUUAGAAGAAAGAAAAAUUAUAGGCUACUCUUCUCAUGAAUAUAGAUGCAAAUAUCUAGUUAAAGUUGUAGCUCACAAAAUCCAGACACAUCUAGAAGAGAUAGUAUAUAACAUUAUUUCAGUAAUGCAACGUUUACUUAUAUUAGGAAAUUGGUUAGUGUAAUAUAUUACCCAAGCACAUUGAAUGAUUUCUUAAAACUCCCAAUGGAUUCAGGAAAAAAAUGAAUUUGAUAAAUUUUAACAUUUAUAUAUGACUUAGAAUAAUUCCUGUUGACUAGGAGGGUAAUAAAACUUCAUUAUUCUGGUAAAAGGAAUUUAUGCAAAAUUUACAGUGAAUAUCCAUCUAAUGAUGAAAUACUGAAAGCACUCUUUACAAUCAAGAACAAGAUAAGUAUGAAUGCCAGUUGUCACCACUUCUAUUCAUUGUUACUGGAGGUGUUAGCCAAAGUAAUAAGACAAAAAAAAAUUUGAAAGGCAGAAACAGAACUGUCAUUGUUCAAAGGUUAUCUAUGUAGGAAACUCAAAAGAUCUAUAAAUAAAUACUAAAAUUAAUAAGACAGUUUAACAGAUUGCUGGAUGUAAAAUCAAGACAUAAAAGCAAAUUGCAUUUCUCUAUGUGAAUAUACAGGAAGUCAGUGUAACAAUAUAUGUCAAGUAACAAGAAAUAAAUCUAACAAAAAUUUUGUAAUAUUAUAUUCCGUUUGAAUAAUGUGUGAUGUUAGAACUAGGGAACUAAUAGAGAAUAUUAUAAAUUAUAUUGCAAAAGCUAAAUAAAAUCUAAAUGGAAUGUUAUAUCAUACUUCUAGGUAGGACAAUGUAAUUUUUUCCAGGUUUAUUCAAUACCAGUUUAGCAUAGUGUGUAUUUGUGUAACUAGAUAAACUUAAUUUUUUAUUUGAAAAAGGAAAGUGCAAGGAUUACUGAAGACACCAAUGAAGAACAGCAAGGUGAGGUGAACUCUUUCAAAUAAUCUAGCUUAGUUAAGUUUAUAUCCCAAUUUAGACAGCAGGAUUGGCUAUGUAGUAGAACUAUGGGGUGAAUUGCAGAGUACCCCACAAACUCACGCAUAUAUGGAAACUUUAUCAAGAAAGCAUUGCAGAAAGGGGUAAAUGUAAAUGGUAAUAAGGCAGAUAAUUAGUUAAGCAGAUGAGAAGGUUGAAAUUGAAUUCCUGUCUGUCCACAAGAAGCAAAUUAAAAUUAUUAAAAUUUUAGAAGUGAAAUAGAAAAAUAAUAAAAUGUUUAGAAGAAAAAAAAUGUUUAGAAGAAAAUGUAGGAUUAUAUUUUCAUGACCACACGAUACAAAAAGAUUUCUUAAAACAAAGACACAAAUAAUACAAGACAUAAAAAUGCAAAACCAUUAAGUAAUGAUUCAAUUUGAUCAUAUUAAAAUUGAGAUAUUCCUUAUCAAAAGAUACUAUAAGACUACUGCAAAACAGCAGAAUAGCAAAAUGUACAACUGGCAAUUAACUAGUAUCCAGAUAAAACAACUUCCUCAAAAAAUUAGAAAAAGAAAAAA